GACAGGGGAAGGGUUCCACCCCGUUCUAAGACCAGAGGCAGGAGGGGUGCUGUAGAAGGAAAUUAGAUGCCGGGAUGGGAAGACUGAAAAGGAGGAGUUGGGGGUAAAUCUGAAAGAAACACAAGAGCGAGGUCCCUAAGGUUUGAAAGCAGUGCCAAGGAGCUCUAGACCACACCCAAGGUAGAGUGGGAGGGGCAUGUACUUUGGCUGCCUUGAAGGGUGAGCAGGAGCUAGUCCAGAGACCAUCUUCCGCAGGACUGAGGGGGUAGAGGAAUGCUGGGAGCCCCAGCCAGUGUGGAGAUGGGGACAGCCCAGGUUAGCUGACUGUAGUCCAUGCCCUGCCACCACCUAGGAAGCUGGGGGGACUUCCUGACAGGAGCACCAUGACCUGCCACGGCAUCUGUGCUGUCUGUGAAUGCAGCAAGAGCUUUAUCUGAAAUGAUCCUUUCCUCCCACUCACUUCUCCCCCUCCUUCCCUCCUCUCCUUUCCUUUCCCCCACCUCCCCAGCUCUAGCACCUGGCACAGAACUUCAUCCUAAAUACCAGGCCACAAACAUCAAGCUCCCACCAAACUCUGCCCCGUGAUCUGCUCUUUGACCCAGCCUCCCUCCUCUCCAGCCUCCCCUUCACCCAGCCUCCAUCUAGGUCUAAGGAUAGUCUUCUUCUCUUCCCCCUCCCUCCCCUCUCCCUCUUCCCCCUCCCCCUUCCUCCUUUCCCCUUCCCCUCCUCUCUGUCUGUCUCUCUUUUACACACACACACACACACACACACACACACACACACACACACCGUGCCUCAGCCCCUCCAGCAAGGGGGAAAGUGUUAAUCCAUUGGAGCAGAUUUCCAAAGCUACAUGGCACACCAACGCUAGCUCAUUUUGAUGAUAGGUCCUCAGUAAGCAUGCAAGCAGGUGAGGAGACCUAUUUAGGACCUCAGGGUGCACAACCCUGCAGUGGGGAAUCUGAUUAGCUCCACACGGGCUUCUGUUUUUACCACUCACUGGUCAUGAGUUCUCAGAGAAGGGGCACCCUGGAGUAAUGGCAUAGUGGUGAGACAGAAGCCUGGAUUUGUGUCAUAAUGCCACAUUAAGGCCAUCGAGAUUUCAACUAAACCCUUGACUUGAUGGCUACAGAUAGGCCCUCCCAAGGUACCAUCUAGAAUAAUCCAGCAGCCUUUUUGAUGUCAAGAGUGUCAGUCUAGAGUUCCUGGUGGUCAGAGCUGCGAACGCCCUGGAAACCUUCAGACCCAGACUCAGGCCUUCCUCAUUGUCCCAACACAGGCAGAGGUUCCAGGACAUUCACAGUGAAGGCCAUGAAAGGCCUUGCUCACGGUCCCAGCCCUGUUCCUAAUGGAGGUCUGCAUUUUCCUGGAAAGAGCGGGGUUGGGAGGCUAGAAAACUACAUUUCCCAGAUACCCUUACAGUGGGACUCUGGGUGGGUUCUGCCAAUCCAUGCAAGAUGAGGGAGUCAAAACAAGGAAAGGAGCCAUUCUUGUUUAAGAAGUAGCAUCAGAUGGGACUCCGGCUCUCCCCCUCCUCACUCAAGGACAGUGUCCAGCAGGUCUGAUGAUCUCCACAUAUCUUGAGAAAUCAGACAAGGACUUCUCCAGGGAGGUGGAAGUGUCCUUAUUCCAGAGUCCCUGGCCAAGUCACCAUGGUUAUAGCCUCAAAACACCUAUCGCAAGCAGGGAUUCCAAAAAAGACCAACCACAUCUAAAAAAUCAGAAAACCUUUCCUCAUGAGGUCUGGAGAGCCUGCUAUGCUAACAUCUGCCCCUCAGUCUUCAGGUCUCCGUGCUGUAUGGAGAGACAUGGAAGGAUGGGUUCUCAGGGCAGAUGGCGCUGACUGGUAGGAGCACUCACUGGCAGGAGCACCGAUGCAUCUCUGUGAUGGGUUACCCCCUGCUGACCCUCUGCAAUCAUGGAGGAAGCAGAAGUGACCGAGGACAGAUUCCAGCAGUCACUGAGCAGAGCCAGCUCCCUGAGUGAGAAGGACUGUGAUCCUUGGCUAUGGGGACUCCCAAGGUCUAGAUGCGUUUGCCAUCCUGGGCUGGAAAAAAACCACAGGCCAGGGCUUCAAAGGACUCCGAGGUUCUGCAUGUAGAAGAGUGGAGGCCGUGUUCCAGUCUAGUCACUUGUCUACUGGCCUAUGGCAUCCCUUCCCUUAAGGCAGUAACCCCACCUCAAAGGGCAGGAUGCUCUGAGAGAGUCUCCGUGUCCUGACCACGCCCCUCAGGUCCCCAGAGGCCUGCUAUGAGCUCCUGGAGGCAAGGGUUUCUCUCUAGCCUGCACAUCAGGGAGGAUUACCAACACAGGCACCCAGAACCCUCAGAGCAGAGAACGGGAAGGUUGGCACAGCAUGAUGGGAGCUUUUGGUGAGACUUGGUAGUCCAGAGAGGCUCUUGAAGAACAGACAGGCUACUGGUCCCGACUAAGAUGGUGGCACAUGUGUCAAGGACAAACAGAGAGAGCUACCAACAUCCCAGCCCCUGGAGAGGGGUCUACAAACACUGCUUGGGCAGGCAGAGUAAAUACUAGGGCUCCUAGUGUCAGUGGAGAUGGUACCCUGUACUGUGAAGUUACAGUUUCAUCAGAGCUGACUCAGAAGCCACCAUGACUGGACGGGAUACGCCGCCACGCCCACCACCUCCAUCACAUGCUCUAGAGAUCCACCUGCCGUCCUAAAACGGUUCUGAAAAAUACUGUCAUCCCUGGAGGAGUCCCCUGACAACCUGGCCCAGGGGACACUGCAACUCUGAGGAGGGCCCCAGGGACACUUCUCUUCUGCUUCCAGAAGCUGUCGGGUCUCUGACUCUGGAGUCCUCUUGCUGACAAAUGUAGGGAAAAGCACUUUGUAAAGCUCAAAGCCCGCGCCUGGCACACAGCAGAUGCUCUCUCUCGACAAACGUGUGCGGAAUGACGGAGCGGCCCUGAGAGAUCCCCGCAGACCGCACCGCACAGCACAAGCCACCGAUAUCAUUCUUACUGUGACUAAAUAAAGUCGUUAUCAGGGGUAUUAUGGGAAAUUCCAUAUUUCUCCCUAACGAGAUCUUUUUCUUCCGAGUUCUCAGCAGACAGAGCGGAGGGCCUGGCUCACAGUAGGCAUCAAUAAACGUUUGAUGGAUGAGUCAACGCACGCAUGGAUAAAUGAGAGGUCUAUGGAUGGAUGAACCGCCACAUGGAUGGCGGGGAAUGGAAAGAUGGAUAGAGCGGUCCUUCGUUUGCCUAUUCAACAGCCGCCUCCCUCUUCCUCUGCCUUUCUCCAUGCUAAAUGAAUUCCAGUUUUAUUCGGUCUCUUGCACUCAGGGAGGGGGCCCAGCCCUUCCCCAGGCAACACAUCUUGUUUUGAGCUAGGACAUCACGAUAUCUUUUCCCCAGCCAGACACUUGCCUAGGAACAACCCUGGCUCAGGAGACGGGGAGCAAGCCCACUGGGGCCCUGCAAGUGCAACAGCCUCAUUAAAGGAAGCCAAGUAGGGAACAUUCUCUUCUGGUUUCUGACAUGGGUGUGUGAGAUGACACGUGCAGAGAUGUGCAGUCAUCUUGUAACCAUGAGAAAUGUGACAAAGGACAAAUGCCUAACAUCCUUAGUACCACAAAGCAAAUACACAGAAAGA